rnacentral:piRNA from 1 species
UGCCCCUUGACAUUCUGGUGUGAUUG